rnacentral:misc_RNA from 1 species
GAUGAGAACGCAGCGAAAUGCGAUAAGUAGUGUGAAUUGCAGAAUUCAGUGAAUCAUCGAAUCUUUGAACGCACAUUGCGCCCCUUGGUAUUCCAUGGGGCCUGCCUGUUCGAGCGUCAUUUGUACCUUCAAGCUUUGCUUGGUGUUGGGUGUUUGUCCAUUCUCUUGCAGAGGGACUCGCCUUAAAGUAAUUGGCAGCCAGUGUUUUGGUUUUGAAGCGCAGCACAAGUCGCGAUUCAACGCUAUACGCCAGCUUCCACAAGCCUUUUUCACUUUUGACCUCGGAUCAGGUAGGGAUACCCGCUGAACUUAAGCAUAUCAAUAAGCGGAGGA